CACAAACAUUCAAGCCAUAGCAACCAGGAAUGGGGAAGGAACCUGUUUUUCAGGAAGACAGUUCUGGCUCUGUAGAAUUGUUUUGGUUACUCUUGGCAGCCUCCUUUGGACGGAGUUAUGAAGCCUCAUAACAAGCACUAGAUUCCAGUGCAAUCCAGAAAAGGGAAUAUGUAAGACCUGCUCCAGGAUAAAGUGGCCUAUCCACUGCAAGACAAGAACUUGACGAGUGGGAGUCAGAGAAGCACAUGUAGGGGCAAAGGUAAGAGUAAAUGUAAGAACAAACCAAGGGGGAAGCUACGAAAGGCUCCAUCAGGCU
rnacentral:lncRNA from 1 species